UACAGAGAUCUCAAGCGUUGUUCGGAUUCAUUGGGCGUAAAGGGUGCGUAGGUGGCGGGGCAAGUUUGGUGUGAAAUCCCGGGGCUCAACCCCGGAACUGCACUGAAUACUGCCUUGCUUGAGCACUGGAGAGGGAACUGGAAUUUACGGUGUAGCAGUGAAAUGCGUAGAUAUCGUAAGGAAGACCAGUGGCGAAGGCGAGUUCCUGGACAGUUGCUGACACUGAGGCACGAAGGCUAGGGGAGCAAACGGG
rnacentral:rRNA from 1 species